rnacentral:rRNA from 1 species
UACAGAGGAUGCAAGCGUUAUCCGGAAUGAUUGGGCGUAAAGCGUCUGUAGGUGGCUUUUUAAGUCCGCCGUCAAAUCCCAGGGCUCAACUCUGGACAGGCGGGGGAAACUAACAAGCUGGAGUACGGUAGGGGCAGAGGGAAUUUCCGGUGUAGCGGUGAAGUGCGUAGAUAUCGGAAGGAACCCCGGUGGCGAAGGCGGCCUGCUGGGCAGUAGCCGAAAGGCUUGAAAGCUGACGCUGAGGCGCGACAGCGUGGGGAGCAAACAGG